UCCCAGCAGCCCCAGCGUUAUAUAAGGAAGUAGUGAAGUUUGUUUGCUCUUUCGCUUCCGCUUUUGAUUUCGGGGAUGUCGUGGCGGAUUUAGAAGUUGAAAAGAAUGAUAUAGCACUUCAAAAGAAUGGCAGCAGAUAAGCAGUUAUGUUAAAUAAUGCCGGAGCUUUGUCGUGAACUGAACAUAUGAUGUACCGAUUAAGGAGUGUUGUGACUGGAUUAUUGCCUGACUGAUGGUUGCCUGACUGUCCCAGUCGGAAAUAGUGGAUGUUAGAGGGAUGCACGGUUACCGUUUACUUUAGAUUUAAUACUUUUGUUAUUGUUUUUUAUUUAUUUUGUUCUGUGAAUUUGGGACCCAGAGUGUCAGAGGAGAGAUUAGGCCCCAAAGAAACUGGAUUAA